CAGCGCCACAAGUGGUAAUCACGUUUAUUGGGCCUAAAGCGUCCGUAGCCGGUUUAGCAAAUCUUUUGUGAAAUCGUCAGGCUUAACUUGACGAAUUGCAGAAGACACUACUAAACUAGGGACUGGGAGGAGUCAGAAGUAUUCUGGGGGGACCGGUAAAAUGGUAUAAUCCCCAGAGGACUACCGAUGGCGAAGGCAUCUGACCAGAACAGAUCCGACGGUGAGGGACGAAAGCCAGGGGAGCAAACCGGAUUAGAUACCCGAGUAGUCC
rnacentral:rRNA from 1 species